GCAAACUUGGUCAUUUAGAGGAAGUAAAAGUCGUAACAAGGUUUCCGUAGGUGAACCUGCGGAAGGAUCAUUACUGAGUUACAAAAAAAAAGGUCUAUAAGCUCUUCGGAGUGAGGAUUCCUUUUUUUUUUCCUUCUCUUCACCCUUUGUUAUUAUUUUCCAAGUUGCUUUGGUAGGUGUAGGGAGUUAAUCUCUUUCCUGCCAAGGGACCUUCUUAAACACUUUGUUAUCCAACAAUUGGGAUGUCUUUUGUCUGAUUCUUAUGACUUUGAAUAAGUACAUAAAACUUUCAACAACGGAUCUCUUGGUUCUGGCAUCGAUGAAGAACGCAGC
rnacentral:misc_RNA from 1 species